CGACGCUAAGACUGCCUUGACUGCCUUGCAUGUGCCUUGGAUGCGCUUGGACGCCACCAGGAUCACCUUGGAUGUGCCUGGAUGAUGCCGGGACCGCCUUGGCUCCGCCUGGACGACGCUGGAGCUGCCUUGGAUGCGCCUUGGAUGCGCCUGGACGAAGCCAGAAUCACCUUGGAUGCUCCUGGACGACGCCGGGACCAACCUGGAUGCGCCUGGAUGACGCCGGGAACGCCUAAAAAGUGCCUUGGAUGCGCCUUGGACGCACUUGGACGACUUCAGGAACGCCUCGGAUACGCCUGGAUGACGCCGGGACCAUCUUGAAUGGACCUGGUUGAUGCCGGGACUGCCUUGUAUGCGCCUGGACUGCCUUGUAUGCGCCGGGACAACGCCGGGACUGACUUGUAUGCGCCUGGACGACGCCAGGACCGCCUUGGAAGCGCCUGGAUGACAGCGGGACCGCUUUAGAUGCGCCUUGAAUGACGCUAGGAUGGCCUCUGGUGCGCCUGGGUGACGCCGGGACCGCCUUGAAUGCGCCUGGACUCUGGGACAGCCUUGUUUGCGCCUCGGCGACGCUGGGACUGCCUUAGAUGCGCCUGGACGACGCCAGGACCGCCUUAGAUUCGCCUGGACGCCGGGACUGCCUUGGAUGCACUUGAACGACGCUGAGAACGCCUUGGAUGCGCCUGGACGACACCAGGUCUGCCUUGGAUGUGCCUUGGAUGUGCCUGGAGGACGCCAGGACCACCUUGGAUGCGCCUGGAAAACGCCGGUACCGACUUUGAUCCGCACGGACGAUGCCGGGACCGCCUUGAAUGCUCCUUGGAUGCGCCUUGGCUGUGCCUUGGAUGAACCCGGAUGAUUCGCCUGGACGCCGGGACUGCCUUGGAUGCAUUUGGACGACGCUGAGACCGCCUUGGACACGCCUGGACGACGCCAGGACCGCCUUGGAUUUGCCUGGACGCUGGGACCGCCUUGUUUGUGCCUGGACAACUCCCUGACCGCCUUGGAUGACGUUGGUACCGCCCCGGAUACGCCUGGACGACGCCGGGAUUGCCUUGGAUGCGUCUUGGAUGCACUUGGACGACAUUGGGACCGCCUUGGAUGCGCAUGGAUGACGCCAGGACAGCCUUUGUUGCGACUUGGAUGCGCCUUGGAUGAGCCUCCGAUGCGCCUGAACAAUACCAGGACCACCUUGGAUGCGCAUGGACGAUGCCGGGACCGCCUUGGAUGCGCCUUGAAUUCGCUUUCACUGCGCCUGGAUUACGCCCGGACCGCCUUGGAUUCGCCUGGACGCCGGGACUGCCUUGGAUGCACUUGGACGACGCUGAGACCGCCUUGGAUGCGCCUGGACGACACCAGGUCUGCCUUGGAUGUGACUUGGAUGUGCCUGGAGGACGCCAGGACCACCUUAGAUGCGCCUGGAAAACGCCGGUACCGACUUUGAUCCGCACGGACGAUGCCGGGACCGCCUUGAAUGCUCCUUGGAUGCGCCUUGGCUGUGCCUUGGAUGAACCCGGAUGAUUCGCCUGGACGCCGGGACUGCCUUGGAUGCAUUUGGACGACGCUGAGACCGCCUUGGAAACGCCUGGACGACGCCGGGACCGCCUUGGAUUUGCCUGGACGCUGGGACCGCCUUGUUUGUGCCUGGACAACGCCUGGACCGCCUUGGAUGCGUCUUGGAUGCGCCUUGGAUGUACCUGGACAACGAUGGGAGCGCCUUGGAUGCCCCUGGACGUCGCCUUAGAUGUGCCUUGGAUGCGCCUGUAUCAUGCCAGGACCACCUUGGAUGACGCCGGGACCGCCUUUCAUGCGCCUAAACGCUGGGACCGACUUGUUUGUGCCUGGACGACGCUGGGACUGCAUUGGAUGCGCCUUGGAUGCCCUUGGAUGCACCUGGACGACCCAGGGACUGCCUUGGAUGCGCCUGGACGACUCCGGGACUGCCUUGGAAGCGCCUUGGAUGCGCUUUGGAUGCACCUGGGUACGCUGGGACCGCCUCGGAUGCGCCUGGAUGACGCUGGCAUUCCCUUGGAUGGGCCUUGGAUGCUCCAGGACAACGCCGGGACCGCCUUGGAUUUGCCUGGACGCUGGGACUGCAAUGUUUGUGCCUGGAUGACGCCCUGACCGCCUCGGAUGCGCCUUGGAGGCACCUGGUCGAGGCUGGGUCCGCCUUGCGUGCGCCUGGAAGCCGGGACCGCCUUGGGUGCGCCGGACGACGCCUGGAACGCCUUGCAUGCGCCUGAACGCUGGGACCGCCUUGUUUGCGCCUGGAUGACCCCUCGGAUGCGCCUUGGAUGCGCCUGGACGACACUGGGACUGCCUUGGAUGCGCCUGGAUGACCUUGAGACUUCCUUGCAUGCACCUUGCAGGUUCCUGGACGACGCUGGGACUACUUUGGAUGCGCCUGGACGACGCCGGGACCGCCUUGCAUGCGCCUGGACGACGCCGAAUCGCCUUGGAUUCCCCUGGAUGCUGGGACUGCACUGUUUGUACCUGUACGACGCUGUGACCGCCUUGGAUGUGCCUUGAAUGCGCCUUGGAUGCACCAGGACGACGCUGGGACUGCCUUCGAUGCGCCCGGUCGACGCUGGGACUGCCUUGGAUCCGCCUUGGAUGCACCUUGGAUGCGCUUGGAUGACGUUGGGACCGCCCCGGAUACGCCUGGACGACGCCGGGAUUGCCUUGGAUGCGCCUGGACGACGGCAGGACUGGCUUGUUUGAGCCUGGACUACCCCAAGAUCGCAUUGGAUGCGACUGGAUGAUGCCAGGACCGCCUUGGAUGCGCCUGGACGACGGCGGGACCGCCUUGAAUGCGCCUGGACGACGGCGGGACCGCCUUGGAUUCCCCUUGGAUGUGCCUUGGAUGCGCCCGGACGACGCCGGGACUGCCCUGGAUGCGCCUGGAAGACGCCGUUAGCGCCUUGCAUGCGACUGGACGUUGGGACCGCCUUGUUUAAGCCUGGACGACGCCGGGACCGCCUUGGAUGAACCUGGACGACGGCAGGACCACCUUAAAUGUGCCUGGACGAUGCCGGGAUUGCCUUGGAUGAACCUUAGAUCCGCAAGGACCACGUUGGAUGCGCUUUGGAUGCGCCUGGCCGACACUGGGACCGCCUUAGAUGCGCCUUGAAUGCGCCUCGGAUGUACCUUGUAUGCUCCUGGACGACGCCAGGACCGCCUUGGAUGCGUCUUGGAUGCGUUUGGACUACAUUGGGACCGCCUUGGAUGCGCAUGGAUGACGCCAGGACAGCCUUUGUUGCGACUUGGAUGCGCCUUGGAUGAGCCUCCGAUGCGCCUAAACAAUACCAGGACCACCUUGGAUGCGCAUGGACGAUGCCGGGACCGCCUUGGAUACGCCUUGAAUUUGCUUUCACUGCGCCUGGAUUACGCCCGGACCGCCUUGGAUGUGUCUUGGAUGUGCCUUGGAUGUGCCUUGGAUGCUUCUGGACGACGCCGGGUUCAUCUUGGAUGCGCCUUGGACGCGCCUUGACAACGCCGUGACUGGCUUGGAUGCGCCAGGACAUACUGGGACCGCUUUGGAUGCGCCUGGAUGACAGCGGGACUGCCUUGGUUGCGCCUUGAAUGCGCCUUGGAUGCUCUGAGACGACGCCGGGACAGCUUUGGAUGCGCCAGACGAUGUCGGGACUGCCUAACAUGCGCCUGGACGCUGGAACCGCCUUGGAUGUGCCUUGACUGCCUUAGGUGUGCCUGGACGAAUCCAGGACUGCCUUGGAUAUGCCUGGACGACGAUGGGACCGCCUUGUUUGAGCCUGGACGACGCCGGGACCGCCUUGUCUAUGCCUGGACGACGCCGGGACUGUCUUGGAUGAGCCUUAGAUGCACCUGGACCGAUAUGGCUUCAAUACGCCUCGAAUGCGCCUGCACAACAACGGGACCGCCUUGGAUGCGCCAGACGAUGCCGGGACUGCCUAACAUGCGCCUGGACGCUGGAACCGCCUUGGAUGUGCCUUGACUGCCUUGGAUGCGCUUGGACGCCGCCAGGAUCACCUUGGAUAUGCCUGGAUGAUGCUGGGACCGGCUUGGCUGCGCCUGGGCGACGCUGGGACUGCCUUAGAUGCACCUUGGAGGACGCCAGGACCACCUUGGAUGUGCCUGGAAAACGCCGGGACCGACUUUGAUCUGCACGGACGAUGCCGGGACCACCUUGAAUGCUCCUUGGAUGCUCCUUGGAUGCGCCUUGGAUGUGCCUUGGAUGAACCCGGAUGACAGCGGAAGGAGUGGAGCUCUUUACAAGCCCUAGGCUUCGUCUCCCUCCUUAUUAUUAUUAUUGAUAUAAUAAUAUGUGCUAAACAAUAAACUAACUAACUAACACCGGGACCGCCUUCGAUAAGCCUGGACGACGCCGGGACCGCCUUGGAUGUGCCUGGUUGACGUCAGGACUUCCUUGGGUGCACCUGGACGGCGCCGGGACAGCCUUGGAUGCGCCUGGACGACAGCAGGACCGCCUUGUUUAAGCCUGGACAACCCCAAGAUCGCCUUGGAUGCGACUGGAUGGUCCUUGCAUGGUCCUGGACGACGCUACGACCGCCUUGGCUGCGCCUGGACGACCCCGAGACCGUCUUGCAUGCGCCUGGAUGCUGAGACCGCCUUGUUUGCGCCUGGUCAAAACCAGGACUUACUUGGACGCGCCUGGACAACGCCGGGACCGCCUUAGAUUAGCCUGGAUGCUGAGUCUGCCUUGUUUGUGCCUGGACAACGCUGGCACCGCCUUGGAUGCGCUUUGGAUGUACCUCGACGACGCUGAGACCGCCUUGGUUGCGCUUUGGAUGUACCUGGACGACGCUGGGACCGCCUUGUUCGCGCCUGGACGACGCCUGGACCGCCUUUGAUUUGCUGAGACCGCCUCGGUUGCGCUUUGGAUGUACCUGGACAACGCUGGGACCGCUUUGUUUGCGCCUGGACGACGCCUGGACCGCCUUUGAUUUGCUGGGACUGCCUUGUUUGUGCCUGGACGCCGCUGGGACCACCUUGGAUGCGCCUUGGAUGCACCUGUACAACGCUGGGACCGCCUUGUUUGCACCUGGACAACGCCAGGACCGCUUUCCAUGCGCCUUGGAGUCACCUGGACGAUGCCGGGACCGUCUUGGGUGCGCUGUACGACGCCGGGACCGUCUUGCAUGAACCUGGACGCUGGGACCGCCUUGUUUGCGCCUGGACGAUGCCGGGAGCGCCUUGCAUGCGCCUGGAUGACGCACAAUCGCCUUGGAUUGCCCUGGAGGCUGGGACUGCACUGUUUGUACCUGUAUGACGCUGUGACCGCCUUUGAUGCACCUAGGAUGUGCCUUGAAUGCGCUUUGGAUGCACCAGGACGACGCUGGGACUGCCUUGGAUGCGCCUGGUCGACGCUGGGAAUGCCUUGGAUGCGCCUUGGAUGCGCUUGGAUGACGUUGGGACCGCCCCGGAUAUGCCUGGAUGAUGUCGGGAUCGCCUUGGAUGCGCCUGGUUGAUGAAGGGACUGCAUUGGAUGCGCUUGGACGACGCCGGGACCGCCUUGGAUGACUCCAGGACCGCCUUGGAUGCGCGUGGACGCUGGGAUCGCCUUGUUUGCGCCUGGACGACGACAGGACUGCCUUGUAUGGGCCUUGGAAGCGCCUUGGAUGCGCCUGGUCGACGGGGGGGACCACUUUGGAUGCGCCUGGACGACGGCGAGACCGCCUUGGAUGCGCCUGGACGACGGCGGGUCUGCCUUGGAUUCCCCUUGGAUGUGCCUUGGAUGCGCCCGGAUGACGCCGGGACCACCUUGGAUGCGCCUUGGAUGCGCCUUCGAUGCACCUCGGAUGCGCCUGACGACGCCGGGACUGGCUUGGAUGCGCCUGGACGACGCCAGGGCCGCCUUGGAUGCACCUGGACGAUGGUGGGAUGCACCAAGAUUGCGCCAGGACUGCCUCGAAUGCGCCUGGACGACACCCGGACCUCCUGCCUGCCUGGCCCACUCUUGGAUGAGACCACGAGCGCUUUGGAUGCACCUGGACGACGCCAGGACCACCUUGGAUUCCCCAUGGGUGUGCCUUGGAUGCGCCCGGAUGACGCCGGGACCACCUUAGAUGCGCCUUGGAUGCGCCUUGGAUGCGCCUUCAAUGCACCUCGGAUGCCCCUGACGACGCCGGGACUGGCUUGGAUGCGCCUGGACGAUGCCAGGACCGCCUUGGAUGCACCUGGACGAUGGUGGGAUGCACCAAGAUUGCGCCAGGACUGCCUCGAAUGCGCCUGGACGACACCCGGACCUCCUGCCUGCCUGGCCCACUCUUGGAUGAGACCACGACCGCUUUGGAUGCACCUGGACGACGCCAGGACCACCUUGGAUGCGUAUGGACAACGCCGGGACAGCUUUGGAUGCGCCGGACAAUGCCGGGACUGCCUUACAUGUGCCUGGACGCUGAAACCGCCUUGGAUGCGCCUUGAAUGCACCUGGACGACGCUGGGACUGCCUUAGGUGCGCCUGGACGACGUCGGGACUGCCUUGGAUACGCCUGGACGACGCUGGGACCGCCUUGUUUGAGCCUGGACGACGCCUGGAACGCCUUAGUUUCGCCUGGAUGCUGGGACCGCCUUGUUUUUGCCUGGAUGAUGCCGGAACCGCCUUAGAUGCGCCUUGGAUGUACCUGGACGACGCUGGGACCGCCUUGUUGGCGCCUGGACGCCCCCGGGACCGCCUUGGAUGCACUUGGAAGACGCCGGGACCGCCUUGGGUACGCCUGGACGAUGCCAGGAUCGCCUUGGGUACGCCUUGGAUGCACCUUGGAUGUGCCUUGAAUGUGCCUUGGAUGCGCCUGGACGAUGCAGGGCCUGCCUUGAAUGCGCUUGAAUGUGCCUUGGAUGCGCGGGGACAAGGCCGGGACCGCCUUGCAUGCGCCUUGGGUGCGCUUUGGAUGCGCCUGGACGACACCAGGACCGCCUUUGGUGCGCCUAGACAACGCCGGGACUGCCUUGGGUGAGCCUGGACGAUGCCGGGACUGCCUUAGAUGCACCGGGCCCGCCUUGGAUGUGCCUGGACGAUGCCGGGAUCGCCUUGGAUGCGCCAAGACCGCCUUGGAAGCGCCUGGACGACGUCAGGACCGCCAUGUAUGCGUCUGGACGAUGCUGGGACCGCCUCGGAUGCGCCUGGACAACGCCGAGACCGCCUUGGAUGGACUCUGAUGACGCAGGGACCAACUUGAUGUGCCUGGAAAACGCUGAGACCGUGUUAGAUGCCCCUGGAUGACGUUGGGACCGUCUUGGAUGCGGCUUUGAUGCGCUUGGACAAUGCCUGGACAACCUUCUAUGGGCCUGGAUGAAGCCCGUACCGCCUUAAUUGUGCCUGGACGACGCUUGGACCGCGUUGGAUGCGCUUGGGUGAAGCCGGGACCGACUUAGUCUCGCUUGGACAACGCGGGGACCGCCUUGGAUGUUCUUGGACAACGUUGGGACCGCCUUGGAUGUGCCUGGACGACGCCGGGAUCGCCUUGUAUGCGCCUGGACGACAUCGGGACCACCCUGGACGACGCCGGAACCGCGUUGGAUGCGCCUAUCACGAUGCCGAGACCGCCUUGGAUGCACCUAGGAUGCACCUGGAUGACGCCGGGACCGCCUUGGAUGCGCCUUGGAUGCGCCUGGACGGCGCUGGGAUCACUUUGGAUCCGCCUGGAUGCUGCUGGGACCGCCUUGGAUGCGCCCGGACUACGCCGGGACCGUUUUGGAAGCUUCUGGACAAAGCCGGGAUUGCCUUGGAAGCGCCUUGAAGUAAAUAGAUAACUAAAUAGAUAAGUAAAUAGAUAAAAACUGAGAAGUAAAUAGAUAAAAUAGAUAAGUAUAUAGAAGUAGAUAAGAAAAUAGAUAAAAAUGGAUAAGUAAAUAUAUACAAAUAUAUAAGUAAAUAGAUAAAAAUAGAGAGGUAAAUCGAUAAAAAUGAAAAUGUAAAUACGUAGAUAAGUGAGUAGAUAAGUGAGUAAAAAAUAGAAAAGUAAAUAGAUAAAAAUAGAAAAGUAAUAAAUAAAAUAGAUAAAAUUAGAAAAGUAAAAUAGAUAAAAUUAAAAAAGUAAAUAAACGUGAUAUGAAUUGAUGCUCAUUGUGUGCGUGUGCGUGUGCGCGUGCGCGUGCGCGCCCGCAUCUCAAUCCAUCCAAUCCAUCUAACCAUGCAUGAAUGGUGCAUCGGUGGAGCUGAACACGGGGAGAGGCGUGCAUGUGUGUGUGCGCGCGCUCACACAGACUCCAUAGCAGCAGUGAAGCCGAGAGCAUCUCCUCGGCUGGACGUCUGCACGGAGAAGAGGAAGUAAAGCAGGCAACUUUACAAUUCAAGUCAUCCUCGCUGAAGUCAGCCAUGGAGCGGAAGACAAACGAGGGCUCCACCAGCACCUCUCCUCAGAAACACAUGAAGAAUCGCUCCAAAUCCAUAGAGGAGACACAGCAGUCCAAGAGAGGCAUUUCUUCACAGAAAUCGCUCCCAGGAAGACCAGAGCUGGACAGAGUGAAGGAGUGCCUUGAGGCUUCUGAAACGCCCUCGGCCUCUACUGAGGAAUUAAAGGGAUGAACAAAUAGCCAAGUGAUCUUGUCAUCAAUCAUAUACCGUACGAAUAUAUGGAACAAAAUUGUAAUAAAAAGCCAGUGAUAAAUUCAAAAUGUGUUACAUGACCUACAUACCGUAAGCAGUCACAAAAACAUAGAUCUAUAUUAAGACAUUGCAUGUGAAGAAAACAUGUUUUUAUCCAGUUCUCCAGUUUGUUUGUUCUUUAGGCUGAAGAACUUUUUUUUUUCUAAAAAUCUCAUGAUUUUAAUCUAAGAAUGGCCAGUUUAUCGGUCAGGCUCCAACUGUUCUUUUUGAGUGCAUGCUGUCGCCAAUGAACAAAAUCAUCGAUUACUAUAUUUAGUUUGUAUCUCUUGACCUGCUACCAGCAGAAGGUGUAAUUAUGGAACAUUGUUACUGCUAAUGUAUCAAUUUGUGGGUUAGUGUUGGUCCACUAUUCACUGCUGCACCAAUUGUGUAAAAGUUCAUCCGCUUAGUUUGGUGAACCACUCAUACAUGCAAUGCAUACCUACAACACAAUGUUAAAACCAUUAUAUGCUAUUCAAACCAAAACGGUACCCCCUGUCCCCCUUAUUUUUUUUUCUCCAACUGAGCUCUUAUAAAGGCUCUCCUUGUAGUAGGUGAUGGUUUUGUCAAACAUUAAUAAAAUCCUCGACCCAUAUAA